rnacentral:rRNA from 1 species
GUGGGCCGCGCGAGGAGUCUCGCCGAUGACGACCUGGCUAAGCUCAAUGGGUGCGCGGAUCUGGGCUUCGGCUUCAGCUACGACGAGAUCCCGGAGCUACACGGGACCUUCCCCGCCCUCGAGCUCUGCUACUCCAUGAGUCAGUGGUUCCUCGACCAGCCCCAGGCACCGCAGGAGCAGGAGACGGCUGCCAUGCCGACCUCCACGACGACGACCUCGAUGCCCAUUGCCAACUGGAAGAUCUCUAGCCUAGGAGAUAGCACGGAAGAGGUGAAGGCGCGGCUCAAGUACUCGGUGCAGGCGGUGGCAUGCACCGUUAGGCUCUGUAGCUGA